UACGGAGGAGGCAAGCGUUAUCCGGAAUUAUUGGGCGUAAAGCGCGCGCAGGCGGCCUCGCGCGCCCGACGUGAAAGCCCCCGGCUUAACCGGGGAGGGUCGUUGGGGACGGCGGGGCUUGAGGGCGGGAGAGGGUGGUGGAAUUCCCGGUGUAGUGGUGAAAUGCGUAGAGAUCGGGAGGAACACCCGUGGCGAAGGCGGCCACCUGGGCCGACCCUGACGCUGAGGCGCGAAGGCGUGGGGAGCGAACGGG
rnacentral:rRNA from 1 species